rnacentral:rRNA from 1 species
AGUGAACGCUGGCGGUAGGCCUAACACAUGCCAGUCGAACGGCAGCACAGGAGAGCUUGCUCUCUGGGUGGCGAGUGGCGGACGGGUGAGGAAUACAUCGGAAUCUGCUCAGUCGUGGGGGAUAACGUAGGGAAACUUACGCUAAUACCGCAUACGACCUUCGGGUGAAAGAGGGGGAUCGCAAGACCUCUCGCGAUUGGAUGAGCCGAUGUCGGAUUAGCUAGUUGGCGGGGUAAUGGCCCACCAAGGCGACGAUCCGUAGCUGGUCUGAGAGGAUGAUCAGCCACACUGGAACUGAGACACGGUCCAGACUCCUACGGGAGGCAGCAGUGGGGAAUAUUGGACAAUGGGCGCAAGCCUGAUCCAGCCAUACCGCGUGUGUGAAGAAGGCCUUCGGGUUGUAAAGCCCUUUUGUUGGGAAAGAAAUCUUUCAGGCUAAUACCCUGGGAGGAUGACGGUACCCAAAGAAUAAGCACCGGCUAACUUCGUG